GAUGGAUCCAGCUCAUUAGUACCGCGUUUUUCGGGGUUUCGAAUCUUAAAGUCGACAUCAUAAGCCCCAACAUCGCGUUCUCGCGCGCGUAACCCCAUCAGCAUUCAUUCUCAAGGCCAGGCGGCGCAACUCUAGAUACAAAGGCCGGAAUCGAAGCCCCUCCUCCUCCUCCUCGUCUUCCCUCCCCGUAAGCGGUGAGCAGUAUCGGCGAUGGCGCACGAUUCUUUGGGGUUGAAGCCCUCUCGUAGCCUCCCGACCUCCCGAUCCCGCAUCCCCCGCGGCCGACAGCUUCAGAAAACUUUCAACAACCUUAAGAUCACCAUUCUCUGUGGUCUCGUCACCAUUCUCGUACUCCGUGGCACCAUCGGCGUCGGCAACCUCGGUGGCUCUCCUUCCGACGCUGAUACUCGCGUCAUUGAAGAUAUUGAGCGGAUCAUCCGCGAGAUCCGCUCCGACUCCGACCCUGAUGACGAGAUGAUCGUUGGAGGCUCUAACUCCACCGUUGCUCUUAACUCAACCGUUCUCCGCGCUGAGAACUACACCCUCGGCCCUAAGAUCUCCGAUUGGGAUGAGAAGCGGGCCAUGUGGCUGGCGAGUAACCCGGGAUUCCCUUCCCGGAUCUCCGGCGGGAAGCCUCGGAUGCUCCUCGUCACCGGAUCCCCGCCCAAUCCCUGUGACAACGCGAUUGGAGACCACUACUUGCUCAAAGGAAUGAAGAACAAGAUCGAUUACUGUCGUCUCCACGGCAUCGAGAUUGUGCAUAACAUGGCGCAUCUCGACAAGGAGCUCGCCGGGUACUGGGCAAAACUGCCGCUGAUCCGGCGUCUGAUGAUUUCCCAUCCAGAGAUCGAGUGGAUCUGGUGGAUGGACAGCGAUGCGCUCUUCACCGACAUGGCCUUUGAGAUCCCGCUCUCAAAGUACAAUUCCCACAAUCUGGUCGUCCAUGGCUAUCCGGAUCUCAUUUUCGAUCAGCAUUCCUGGAUUGGGCUCAACACGGGAAGUUUCUUGUUGAGAAACUGCCAAUGGUCGCUCGACCUCCUUGAUGCCUGGGCUCCGAUGGGACCCAAAGGUCCGAUUCGGGAUGAGGCUGGCCGGAUCCUCACGGCAGCUCUCAAAGGCCGGCCGGCGUUUGAGGCCGAUGACCAGUCGGCGCUCAUCUACCUUCUCUUGUCGCAGCAGGAGAAGUGGGGCGAUAAGGUGUUCAUUGAGAAUUCUUACUAUCUCCACGGGUAUUGGGCUGGCCUUGUAGACAAGUAUGAAGAGAUGAUGGACAAGUAUCACCCAGGGCUCGGUGACGAAAGGUGGCCUUUUGUGACGCAUUUCGUAGGUUGCAAGCCUUGUGGGAGCUAUGGAGAUUAUCCAGUGGAGAGGUGCUUGAGUAGCAUGGAGAGGGCCUUCAAUUUCGCUGACAAUCAGGUGCUCAGGCUGUAUGGAUUCACUCAUAAGGGACUUGCUAGCCCUAAGAUCAAGAGGAUUAGGAAUGAGACUGCAUCUCCACUGGAGGUCUUGGAUAAGCUGAAUCCACAAGCUAGGAUAGUCAGCCAAUGAAAGGAGCUGCACAACUGCCGUCCCCAACCCUCAUGUUCUGAUGGCCCCCUUAAAAGUCAUCAGGUUGAUUCACAAUGAUCAUCCUACUAAACUGGAAAAGAAAAACAAAGAAAAGAAAAAGGAUUACUGAAGUCAGGAAGAAGCUGCUGGAGAUUGGAGAACUUUUCCCUGUGAAGCUGUGGAACCUGAAACUUUGACUCAGUAUAUCAUGCCAAGAAUACAUCAAUCUCUCAGAUAUUUCUUCUUUUUAUUAUUAUUAUUUAAUUUGUCUGCUCUUGAAAGUUCAUUAUCAUUAUAAUCUCAAAGUUUGAUGUCUAUCUUUGAUGUGUUUAAUCAGAUGGGGCAAUUCUUUUAAUUGCACAUGCUACCUCAUGACUGUUGUUGAUUGAGGCCUCU